GCUGGUUUGCUCGAGAGGUUAAAGGGGAAGACUUGAGAUCUUUUGCACAUAAGUGCGCAUGGGUUUGAAUCCCAUAGCCAGCA
rnacentral:tRNA from 1 species